CCCGAAGAGGUAAUUACUAUUAUUUUGGAAAACGAAACCAUCAGCAUGGAGGAUAUUGUGAAUUUUAAGUGCACGUGUGCGAGAUUCCAGCAAAUAACAUUGCUUCGCAAGUUUUGGGAAAAGAAAUUUUUAUCAGAGCUGCCCUACUGCGGAAAAAAAAUAUAACAAAGAAAAACAGAAUAAAUAUUGCAUCAUAUCGAUUUGGAAAAAAGAAUGCAAGCAGGAUCAUAUUAUAUCCAAGAGUUACAAUAUUUUGCAAUGUAGCGUCAGAAAAUAAAUUAAAUAAUGCUGACGUAGAAAAUUUGAUGUGUUUACUGUGUUUAAUUGCAGAAAAUUUCAUAAUUCCGUAUUAUUCUGUGUGGGAUGAAGCAAAUAGAAUUUUUGAACAAAAAUCAAGCAAACUGUUCACCAAUUUGACACAUGAAUAUAUCUUUAACCAAAUUUUUCGCUGUUUAAGAUAUUUUCGAUUCAUACAUAAACAGAUGAAAUUUUAGAAAAUGUAGAAAAGAAAAUUACUUUUGGAAAAACAAUUUACAAUUGUAGCGCAACAUUUUGCGCUACAUGUGUCCUAUUCGGCCGUAAAAGCGUGAUUAGAUGAAAUAACGGA